rnacentral:rRNA from 1 species
CCAAUAGCGUAUAUUAAAGUUGUUGCAGUUAAAAAGCUCGUAGUUGAAUUUCGGGAUCAAUAUAUCGGUCGUGCCUUGGUACGUACUGGUAUCAUUGGUCUCUCCUUUCUGACGAACCAUGAUGUCAUUAAUUUGGUGUUAUGGGAAGUUAGGACUGUUACUUUGAAAAAAUUAGAGUGUUUAAAGCAGGCUUUGGCUUGAAUACAUUAGCAUGGAAUAAUGAAAUAGGACGUUCGAACCUAUUUUGUUGGUUUCUAGGAUCAACGUAAUGAUUAAUAGGGAUAGUUGGGGGCAUUAGUAUUCAAUUGUCAGAGGUGAAAUUCUUGGAUUUAUUGAAGACUAACUACUGCGAAAGCAUUUGCCAAGGAUGUUUUCAUUAAUCAAGAACGAAAGUUAGGGGAUCGAAGACGAUCAGAUACCGUCGUAGUCUUAACCAUAAACUAUGCCGACUAGGGAUCGGAUGAUGUUAAUUUUUUAAUGACCCAUUCGGCGCCUUACG